CCAAACUUGGUCAUUUAGAGGAAGUAAAAGUCGUAACAAGGUCUCCGUUGGUGAACCAGCGGAGGGAUCAUUAUAGAGAGUAUUAACUCCCUAAAACCCACUGUGAAUCUACCUAACGUUGCUUCGGCGGAGGUCCCGGUUGCCCUCCGUGGUGCCGGAAUCAGGCGUCCGCCGGAGGAUUCAAACUCUUGUGUUCAUUUUGUAACUGUCUGAGUGGCGCAAGCAAAUCAAAUCAAAACUUUCAACAACGGAUCUCUUGGUUCUGGCAUCGAUGAAGAACGCAGC
rnacentral:misc_RNA from 1 species